GACGAACGCUGGCGGCGUGCUUAACACAUGCAAGUCGAACGGAAAGGCCCUGCUUGCAGGGUACUCGAGUGGCGAACGGGUGAGUAACACGUGGGUGAUCUGCCCUGCACUUCGGGAUAAGCCUGGGAAACUGGGUCUAAUACCGGAUAGGAGCCAUUUUUAGUGUGAUGGUUGGAAAGUUUUUUCGGUGUAGGAUGAGCUCGCGGCCUAUCAGCUUGUUGGUGGGGUAAUGGCCUACCAAGGCGGCGACGGGUAGCCGGCCUGAGAGGGUGGACGGCCACAUUGGGACUGAGAGACGGCCCAGACUCCUACGGGAGGCAGCAGUGGGGAAUAUUGCACAAGGGGCGCAAGCCUGAUGCAGAGACGCCGCGUGGGGGAUGACGGCCUUCGGGUUGUAAACUCCUUUCGCUAGGGACGAAGCUUUUUGUGACGGUACCUAGAUAAGAAGCACCGGCUAACUACGUG
rnacentral:rRNA from 1 species